AUAGGUGGCAAGCGUUGUCCGGAAUUAUUGGGCGUAAAGCGCGCGCAGGCGGUCCUUUAAGUCUGAUGUGAAAGCCCACGGCUCAACCGUGGAGGGUCAUUGGAAACUGGGGGACUUGAGUACAGAAGAGGAAAGCGGAAUUCCAAGUGUAGCGGUGAAAUGCGUAGAGAUUUGGAGGAACACCAGUGGCGAAGGCGGCUUUCUGGUCUGUAACUGACGCUGAGGCGCGAAAGCGUGGGGAGCAAACAGGGAUUAGAUACCCUGGUAGUCCACGCCGUAAACGAUGAGUGCUAAGUGUUAGGGGGUUUCCCGCCCCUUAGUGCUGCAGCUAACGCAUUAAGCACUCCGCCUGGGGAGUACGGCCGCAAGGCUG
rnacentral:rRNA from 1 species